GGUUCACACAACUCUGGACCAACGGAUAAUAAAGAACAUGAGCAGAUGAUGAAGACUGGAAUGGGGCAGUGAAACCACAGCUGUCAUUCAGAUUUUCUAGGAGUGCUAUAGAAAGUGGGAUCAACCUAUAAUUAGACACAUCUUUAGAAGAUGAGAGUCAUCGUACCAUUCCUGCUAUCUUUAUUUUUCACUGUGGGUGUUUCUCACUUCCAUGAUUAUCAAAUUCCACAGGAGAACUAUGAUAAUUAUGCAAAUGCAUAUCUGCACUGGGUAAAAUACUUAUAUCCCAACUUGAUUGGCUCAGUUGAAACACAGCCAUAUUAUUUUGUUCCGUUUUAUUAUUACCCAACAAAACCAGAUGCAGAGGUUCCAGUCGAUGAGGGAAGUGGUGGUGGCCCACCAACAUAUAUUGAACCAAGAAGAAGGAGAAGCAUCCUAUUAAGAAUGAUUAGGAAGUAAUAAUUCGUGAAGAUCAUAUUUACGUGAUGUGGGGAAGGUUAUAAUCAGAGCAUGAAAAUGGCACGGAAAUUAAGGGUUAAUUCAACUUGUGUAGGUCUUCAGCUCUUUGUUUUGUUUAACCACACCCCAUCCUAUCUCCAAUACUGCAAACAAUAUUAAAAGAUAACUCAGAAUAUCCAAAGAAAUGAUGCAAAUCUGAGCCUGAGUUGGAAUGUAAUUAUUCAUUGUUCCUGUUAUAAUCUGCUUUGUGGAAGAUAAGAUGUGCUAAUAUUGUGCUCACUUCUCUUUCUGUUUGUUUUUUUACCACCAUUCAGUAAACCAAAGAUAUUCAGGAUUCAUGAAUGGCUAUUGUUUUCCUGUCUAUGAUAAAUGACUUAUGUAAUC